CUCGCUCUGUUGUUCAGAGUUAUUAAUGAAACAUCAAGUAAAAGUAAAACCUCAGAAUUUCUUCGUUAGUGUUGUUAUCCUCAGUGUUUCCCUUCGCUUCAUCGUAACAUUCAAUAAUUCAAGCUCUCAGCACAUCACACUAUCGUGAUAAUUUAUGAAUUUAAAUAUUAAGGGACACUACAUGUCUAAUACAACAACUGGUCUAGUAAAAUGGUUUAACGAAGAUAAAGGUUUUGGUUUCAUUACUCAAGACAACGGCGGCGCUGACGUAUUUGUUCACUUCCGUGCAAUCGCUUCAGAAGGCUUUAAAACACUAGCUGAAGGCCAAAAAGUAUCUUUCGAAGUAGAGCAGGGCCAAAAAGGUCCUCAAGCAGCUAACGUAGUAGCGCUUUAAUUUCGAAAGUCGACGUAAAUGGUUUAAUUAUCAUUUACGUCACU
rnacentral:sRNA from 1 species